CUCCUUCCCAUCCUCCCGUUACCUCCUUUCAUUGCCUCUGGGUGUGGGUGCCUGCGUGGCUGGCUGGCUCCCUGCUGGCAGCGCUCAGCGCUGGAUGGAAGCGCAGUGAGCAGAGGCUGUGUGUAAGAGGGAGCGGCAGGCCCGCCCAGCUGGGCACUGCUCGGAUUCCAGGCUUUACAGCAGCUUCUGAAAGCGUGCCCGAGGCUGCGGUUCCUUGGACAGAGCUGUUGGAGGCAUCAGAAAGAUCUCUGCCUGGAGUGAGACUAUUAGCAGUAAUUUACGUUGGAGGAACGCAAAGAACAUCGCUGGGAUCUAAACAUGUUACACUAAGACUAAGAGCAGGCUUUGUGCCUGGAAACAAACAUCAGCCUCCAUGCUAAUCGCAUUAUUUCUAAGUCUGUGGUGGUGCAGCAGUUUGUAGAUAUUCAGUGGAGAGUAAAUGCUUUGCCUUGUGAAGUCCAAGAACUUUAUGUAAGACUUGGUGGCAAACUUUACUGGUAGGAUUGCAGUGAUAAAAUGCUUUUUCUUGAGCUUCUGGAACUCCGCAUGCUUAGGUUGUAAAUGACCUUUGCACUGUGGCCUCUGCCCCCCCUCCUGAACCUGUUCUGGAGUACCUAUCACAUUGCUUAGAUCUCCUUUCCUGGGAGUAUUCACUUUUGGGUCCUCUGUUAAAAUUAUUAGAACUAAAGCUUAACUGCCGUCCUUGUAGAGUUUAUGACUUCUCAUAAAGAAGAUAAAUUGCCAUUGAUUAUUCCUGCUUAGAACAGACAGUGUAAGUAGGCUCCUAUAGCCAAUGCUCUAGGUGGGUCCCCACAGUACAGUGCUGAAGUUAAAUAUUUACUUGCUGCACAGGACUUUGGUCUUGUGCAACCCUUAUGAAUGUCAGUUGCUGGAACCAGGAGGG
ensembl:lncRNA